CUUGGUCUUUGCUUCUCUUAGAUUCUGAGAAGUCUGUGAGAGAGAUGUGUGGUCUGAGAACAAGCGUUGUGUUAAAUGCAACGUUCCCUUCGAAGGAUGGGAAGCAGGGAAAGUAUUGCUAAGAGUGUCAGAAGUGCGUGAAACCAUCCUGGCGUCACUGCCAGCCCUGUGGCCGCUGUACCCCCCCGGGACCACCCCUGUGGGAACAGCCCAGGUCUGGAAGGCUGCUACAACUGUGGUAGCUUGAAGCACAAACGCAGAGCCUGUCCCCUCAAAGACAGAGGACCAGUAACAAUAAGACCAAGGGAGGCAAGAUCCUGCCCAAACAACAACCCAAAAAGUCAAAUUCCAAGAGGCAGUCGAGCCCAGUGCAGAGCCAACAAGUUGAAGGAGACAGCAGAGUGGUCACACAACCCCACUUUCACAACUCACCACACAGCAAGGGAGAUGUGUGUGUGUAGCAGAUGUGAAGUAGUCAUUAGUUGGCAGCUUGUGUGUGGUUGGUUGGUUGCUGUACUGUUGACAGUCAGUCAGUCUUUUAAAGACAUUUAACUUGUUUUUGCUUAAUAAAUAUGGAUAAUCUCAUGUUACACCACCAUUUUGAAUUCACAGAAUUCUUGAUUUCCUGCUGUAUGUCAAUGUGUAACGCUGUUUUGGAGCACUAGUAGGAACUAGUCCACACAGAGAACAGAAGCUGUGUCGUUGAAGAAGGCGCAUGUUGGACGUGACCUCCAAAACGAGGUCAAUGCCGUUGCAUCAAAAUAACUGACUGGACUGUAUGUAUGAAACUAAAGCUGAGCUUUCCAGGAGAUUUACCUAAGAAAACAGGUGAAAGGCAUCCAUUUUAUUCUUCUGUGCUCAAGACGGUGGGAUAUAAACACCAUGUUUUCCUGCCCUGCAGGCGGAUGAGGCGGAAGAUAGAUCCAUCCGGAUCUGGAAUGAUACACCUUACACUGGAGGCGACUCAUGUCCUUCCAGGAAGGAGCGCAGGCAACAGACUGACAAUGGAGAAGGAUAACUCAGAGCCUUCUGGGAUAGUGUUGUGAUCUCACUGCGUUUAGCUAGUAUAGCUUCAGUUUCUGAAUACACAUAAUUAUUAUUUAUUAUGCAAGAAUGAUAUCUAGAAAGAUGUAGAAAAUAUAGCCUUUUAAGAAGCUGAUUUGCAAUCAGCAUGCAUAUUCACAUGGACCUGAGUGAAGCGUAAAUGCAUCAUUUUUUUGUGUGUCACUUCCUUUGUUAGCCACUAAUUUCUUCCUGUAUGUGUCAUCAACACCAUUCCCUGUGGAUUUUCUGUUUAUUUUCUU